UCUCUCAAACAUAAAUAAACAUAAAAAAAAAAAAAAAAAAGAAGUGGCCUUUUGCCGCCCAGUCCCUGCGGAAAGGGUGGGCUUAUACUUCUUUUAGACUCCACACUCUGACCCCUUGAAAGGACCAUGGGUGGACAGCUACCCUGAACGAAACACGUAACAUGCUCUCUUUUGAGACUUUGCUGUAAGAGACGUGGAAACCGCAGUCCAGAGGGUGUAGAUUUUGGCUUGCAGAUAUGUUUUGUUUGGCCCGCCCAAUGUUUAAAGAAAUCGAAUUAAUUGCCAACAUUAAAAAAUGGGAGAUUUCACAUAAAAAUCCAGAUUUCCGGCUUCUCUUUGAGAAAUGGGAGGAUCCGGUAAAAUGGGCUCAAGUUCCCGCCUGGAGACAAUGGCUGGAACAGAGACCCUCACCCCCUUCCCACCAGCACACCGUCUGUGUGCGCACAGCCGCUCUGGCUCCCCGGAGAAGCCAGCAGUGGCUGUGUUUAUGCGGUCAGUCUGGCUACGUACGAGUGUUCAGGGAAAUACGAAACAUUUCUUGCACCUUCCACUUCCAUCAAAAGUGGGAAGGCAAAAGGUAAAUCCAUGUUCCGUGAGAAACGAGAAUGGCGUGUUACUCCGCGAAAGCAAGCUUUAUUCCAAUGGCGUAUGAUAAGCAAACCAAACGGAUGUGCGCUGGAAGAACACAGAUUUAGAUUCCUCUGAAGCCAGCGAGGCUCUCUGGGCUCAGCUGGGUUGCCUCCCUGGCCUCUGGAGGCCCCCGGGUCUGCUCCACUCUGCCAGUCCACCGACGGAAGAACGGAGCACUGUGGUGUAUCUGCCCACGGCUCCUCUUAUCCGUUCAACAAAUAUGUAUGAAGCGAGUUAGACUGAAGACGAAUGAGCAUCGCAAGACCCCUGUCCAUGUGCAAACCAGGGUCAUCAGGGAGGGAAACGGAGAGCCUUACAAAGAAGCAAGUCUGCAGACGUUUUAUAGGUGUGUGUGUGUGUGUGUGUGUGUGCCAGAGAGACGGUGAGAGAGACAGAGAGGAGAGGACAAACAUCCACAAGGGAGAGCCAGUAGAUUCCCUCCAAUCGCUCACAGUGAGGAGGCUGGGACAUAACUCACGUCCUACAGACGACACUUGUCAGGCUCUAACAUGCACGUGAAUCCUGGGGGAGGUUGUGUAAGUGCCCGUUCUGACUCAGUAGGUCUGGAGUCGGGCCUGAGAUUCUGCAUUUGUAACAAGGUCCCAGAUGACGUCAGUGCCGCUGAUCAGCGGACCGCAUUGUGAACAGCAAACCUCCAAAUCAUACGUACAAAGACACAGUAAAAGAUUAUCUGCCUGACAUUUGCUUUUAAGCCAUGUGCUCUCCAUUGAAAAAGGACCCGGUAAAACCAUUUUUUUAAAUUUUUGUCACUUACCGAAGAAUAUCACUCCUCUUGCGGUCUAGGUAGUGGGUAGCGGAGGCUGGCAGUCUGGGAAGCAGGAAGGACUGGGAAUAACCGACUGGCACCUUCCGAGAAGCCGCCGGGGGUAACAGUCCAGUGAACAGACCAACAGGUGCACCUGGCCAGCCCGGGCGUUGUGGCUUGGCUCUGUGACCUUAGGCAAAACACUCUUUCUCAGCAGCCAAAAGGAGGUAUGGCAGGCAACCCUGUGUGACAGAAGCCUCUGCACAAUGUACUGCUCUCUUGUGGAUGGAAAUAGCUCAAUAAAGAACAUUACCGCUGUCUGUGCAGGAAGAAUGACCCGCAUUCCCCAGAGGGACCUUGCAGAGAUCCAAACUGGGCGCCACUAGACUAAAACAGCAUUGGAUCCGCCCACGGCUCCACUUAUCCAUUCAACAAAUAUUUAUGAAGCGAGUUUCUGUGCCUAGCCUCGCUAAGCCCCGGGACUUCUUCAGCCAUGAGAAAGGACAAGGAGGUCGCUGCCCUUGUGAGACCUAAUGUCUCCUAGCGGUAGACCCUUAAAUGGAAUCUUACAAAUAAUGAGUUAAUAAUAAUUUGAUAUCUAUGACGAGGGGCAGAGGUCUCCGUGAGAUCCUUAGGGAACCUAGUCCAGUCUGGAGGUUCAGUAAAUCUUCCUCCAUAAAAAUGACAUUUCCGUUGGGACCGGAAGGGGUUACGCAGCGGAGAGCUGGGAGAGGGGGCCUGUUCUUGGCAGAGGAGACCAUGUGCUGGAGAAGGCGCCGGAAGGUCAGGGUGGCUGGGGUGUGGUGAGUCAGAAAGGACGGAGAGAUGAGUAAAAGCCCGAUCUGAAGGGCCUGGAAGGCCUGGAGAAGGGACUCUGUCUUUGUCCUGAGAACAACUGGAAGACCAGCGGAAGGUUUUAAGAAGAAUGAUGUGCUCAGACUUGGGUCCCCCAUUUGGCUUUUACCAGACGACGUGUGGCCGCGGAUCCUCCUUGGGAUUUUCUGCGUACAUUCAGCCCCAGGUGGAAAGGAUUGUGGAAGCAAAAAUGGCACCCCCAUUUCAUUGUCCUGUUCACUGGAAGUGGACCCGCGGGCUCUCUGAGGAACAAGCAACCCAUAAACAUGCUGAGAACAAAGGCAGUCUGGUCUGAUGGCUCCAAAGAACGAAACAGCAACACAAAACGCAACCAAGAAACCCAACAACAGCAACAAAAAACCCUGGGUGUUCCAGGUCAGACUUAAAUCGGUUCCUCGAGGGCUAAUUCUCACUACUGUUCCACUGUCAUUAGUGGUGCCACUGCUAAUCACGAUGACCACAGCUACUAUUGAUGAAGGGCUCAUGGCCUGCCAGUUAUAUACAAACAAAUAAAUGUGUAUACAUAAGUGUUAUAAACAUAUAUACACACAAAUAUAUAUAUGCACGUGUACAAAAUAGAUGUAUACCCUGGUUCUAAUCCGUGCAAGAAAAACCUGCCUGAAAGACGGAUAUUACUGUUCCCAAUUCAUCUGAUGUACAAGGAAAGGGAGUUUUACAACGUCCAGAGCGAAGUUGACGGUAAGGGUAGAGGCAGGUUUGGAACACGUGUCUGUCUUCGAAGCCCUGACGUGUCCCCAUCACCACACCGACCCCGGUAAGUAGAGGCCGGGCGAGCGUAUGGGGCACAGUAUGCAUGGGCUUACGCAGAAUUCACCCUGCUCGCUUCUUUUCUUUUUUGAAAAAAAAUUAAAAAAAAAAUUUUUUUUUUUAACGUUUAUUUAUUUUUGAGACAGAGAGAGACAGAGCAUGAACGGGGGAGGGGCAGAGAGAGAGAGAGAGAGACACAGAAUCGGAAGCAGGCUCCAGGCUCCGAGCCGUCAGCCCAGAGCCCGACGCGGGGCUCGAACUCACGGACCGCGAGAUCGUGACCUGAGCUGAAGUCGGACGCUUAACCGACUGAGCCACCCAGGCGCCCCCAAAAUUUUUUUAUUUAAAUUCUAGUCAGCAUACAGUGCAGCCUUGGUUUCAGGAGUAGAAUUUAGUGAUUCAGCCCUUACGUGCAACACCCAGUGCUCAUUAGAACACGUGCCCUCCUCAACGCCCGUCACCCAUCUAGCCCAUCCCCCUGCCCACCUCCCCUGCAGCAACCCUCAGUUUGUGCUCCGCACGUAAGAGUCUCUUAUGGUUUGCCUCCCUCUCUGUCUCAACUAAUUUUUCCUUCCCUUCCCCUGUGUUCAUCUGAUGUGUUUCUUAAAUUCCACGUAUGAGUGAAAUUGUAUGAUAUUUGUCUUUCUCUGACUGGUUGAUUUCGCUUAGCAUAAUACCCCCUAGUUCCAUCCACAUUGCCAACGGCAACAUUUCAUUCUUUUUGAUCACCGAGUAAUACUCCAUUCUCUCUCUCUCUCUCUCUCUCUCUCUCUCUCUCUCCCACAUCUUUAUCCACUCAUCCGUCGAUGGACAUUUGGGGUCCCUCUGUAUUUUGGCCGCUGUUGAUAGUGCUGCUCUAAAUAUCAGGGUACAUCUGUAUUUUUGCAUUCUUUGGAUAAACACUUAGCAGUGCUUUUGCUGGGUCAUAGGGUAGUUCUGUCUUUAACUUUGCGAGGAACCUCCACACUCUUCCUCAGAGCGGCUGCACCAGUCUGCAUUUGCAGCCACGACAUUGCUCACUGCUGUGACAAGCCAAGGGCUCAGUAUCCGGUUUGGAUAUUUGAGAGUUACUGAAACUCUGGAUAGACUCGCCCUCAAAAUGUUCCUUGCAGCACAUCUGCUUCUGUUGGCUUGAGCCGGGCUCCCUUCCUGUAGCUUUCUUUGCAGGAACCCUGCAGUCCCCGCACCCGGGCACGGCCUCCUUCCUCUGCCGGCGUGUGUUUGUGGGCAGUGUUUCCUGACACAGGGUAGAUACGUGUUCUGGGCACUAAGGCACAGCAGGUGGACCUGAAGGAAAGGCCCAAGCACAGAAAAUGCCACGUGCGCUUGUAAAACACCCACCCGUCAGGCACGCAGAAUGCUAGGCCCUUCCAUCCAUUAACUUCUAACGUUGCUCUUGGAGGGAGGGAGGGGCCUCUCCUACCCCACAAAAGGAAACGAGCUGGAUCCAACAGUUAAGGGCAUAAAUCAAGAGGCUUGUUCGAAUUUCAUUCAUCCCACAAAACUUUAUUAAGCGCCUGGUGUGGGCCAGGCGUGGAUCGGGGCAACGGCCCUGGGAUACAGCAAAAAACCUAAACCGAUUAAAAGCAAAGAAGCCAUUAAGAGAGCAGAUCUUAAGCGCUCUUCCCGUGAAAAAGAAGUGGUAACUAUGUGACAGGGUGGAGGCGUUAGCUCAUACCGCUGGUGGUCAUCGUUUUGUAACACGUAAGGGGAUCAAGUCAACAGGUUGCCCAUCUUAAACUUCCAUGAUGUUACAAAUCAAUUACAUCUCAACCAAGCUGGUCAAAAACCAAACAAGCAAAUAAGCGACGGCCGCCAGCAGCAGCAAAGAACUCUCCGGAAAUGCAGCUUUUAUAUUCUGGUGGGAGGUGACAGGCGAUAAACAGAAUAAGAUGUAACAUACUUGGCAUGUUUGAAUGUGGCCAAAAAUAAGGCAGGAAAGGAGAGGGAAGCGUCAGGGACGCCUCACCCAGAGGAUGGCCCUGGAGCAGAGACCUGAAGGAGGUGAGGUGGACGGAUGAUGCAGAAGUCUAGGGAGAGAGGGUUUCAGGCAGAGAUAUCAGUAAGUGCAAAGGUCCUGAGGCAGGAGGGUGCUUAGAGCGUUCGACAAGUAGCAAGGAGACCAGUGUGGCUGGAGCUACGUGCAGUAGGAGAAGGGGUUGGAGAGACAACUGGAGGCUCACAGGGCCUUAUAGUCACUGCAAGACCUUUGGCUUUUUCCCUGCAUGACGUGCAAAGCCACUGGGGAUAUCCCAGCAGAGGAGCAGCAUUUUUCAGGACCAGCAGAGUGGAAAGCAGAUUGUGCAAACGCAAGGUACAGGAGGAGGAUGAACCAGCCAAGAGGCCACGGCGAUCAUGCAUGUGACUGACACAGAAGCUCAGACAAGCCGGGAGCGGGGACGUGGCGAGAAGCGGUUGACUCCUGCGUGUGUUCUGAGGGAGAGCCAAACGGCUUUGCCGGCGGAUUUGGUAAAGACAGUGAAUUAUCUGAAGUCAUUUUUUUCUCCCUACCCACAAGUUCUUUUCUCCAUUUUCAGGUCUAGAGAGGAAGCUUGUUUGUUUCUUACCUUUGGUGAGAUACCUCUUACAUUCUUUUAAGUAAUGUUUUCAUUUUUGAAAUUAUGCAAGUAAACCAUCAUUUUAUUCUUCUCGUAAAAAAAAUCAUAUAGUGUAAAAUGACAACAUCCGUGUAUUCCUCCCCAGUCCUCUUUUUCCAAGAAAGAGAUCAUCCCUAUUGGGAUGGACUUUUUCUGUGCAUUUACAUGCAUGCACGUUUAUUGUUUCACUCUCUUAUGAAAACACGAUCAUACUGUUUACAACGAUUUGUGCUCAGUGAGUCUUUCUUUUCCCAAUACAUGAAAUUUAUUGUCAAAUUGGUUUCCA